rnacentral:rRNA from 1 species
GACGAACGCUGGCGGCGUGCUUAACACAUGCAAGUCGAACGGAAAGGCCCUGCUUUUGUGGGGUGCUCGAGUGGCGAACGGGUGAGUAACACGUGAGUAACCUGCCCUUGACUUUGGGAUAACUUCAGGAAACUGGGGCUAAUACCGGAUAGGAGCUCCUGCUGCAUGGUGGGGGUUGGAAAGUUUCGGCGGUUGGGGAUGGACUCGCGGCUUAUCAGCUUGUUGGUGGGGUAGUGGCUUACCAAGGCUUUGACGGGUAGCCGGCCUGAGAGGGUGACCGGCCACAUUGGGACUGAGAUACGGCCCAGACUCCUACGGGAGGCAGAAGAGGGGAAUAUUGAACAAUGGGCGGAAGCCUGAUGCAGCAACGCCGCGUGCGGGAUGACGGCCUUCGGGUUGUAAACCGCUUUCGCCUGUGACGAAGCGUGAGUGACGGUAAUGGGUAAAGAAGCACCGGCUAACUACGUG